AUUAUGAGUAGAAGAGCAGUAGUAUAGCUUUAGCUCGUCGUUUGAGAUUGUGUUAGUAGUCUCGUUUUUGUGGAAGUGAUAAUUAUCUGAGAUUGUUUACCAGGAAGCUGAAGACUGAAGAGGCAAAAAGUACAUGCACAGAGGAGCACGAAAACCUCUCCCAAGAUCUGGUAAACUUCAGAAGAUGGCGGUAUUUUUGAAACCAGAACAGCUGAAAGUGGGACACCAUGUCUCAGCUGAAUCCAAACAAUGCCACCCUUUCUAAGUUUUUUUCAAGGGAAAAGAUUUGAAUUCUUUGAGGAGCACUUCAAUAAAAAGAUGAGGAAGCAAUUAUAGAAUCUGAUUUUAAGGAAAGAGAAGGAAAGCCUGAAGUACAAGGACUGCUUCAAAAACGACAGCAGAGGGACAGUCUGACAAAAUGGUAUCUGAUGUGGAAGUGCAUAUGGAGCAAAGGUGUAGAAUUAAAUUCCUUCAAGUGGAAAAAAAUUGCGCCCAUUGACACUGCUGAACAUUGGUGGAGACCUAACAUUUCCCUGGAGAAAAAAAAAAAAAAAUAGGAGGCUUUACUUUUGGAGCUACCUACAAAGUGUGUUUUAGGGCAUCCAAAUUUUGCUGUGGGGGCAUUUCAGCUGAUUGACUAUGUUUAUAAAAGAAAGAAGAGAUGAGAAGGAUGGUAAAGACUUGUGGAGAAUUCAGGUCAAUUCUGGAGGUUUUUCUUCAAACACUUUCAAAUUGCAAAGCAAGGUCUGUCCUUGCUUACUUGAAGUGGGUUCCUGUUCAUAUGUGGACACGCUGCUAGCCUGCAUAGAAGAGACAGAAGAUUUGUUCAACCCGCUUCUGAAGGCAGUGGAGACAAUUGAUGCUCUCUCAUGGCUGGUGCAGGAGCUUAUCCUAAGAGUGAAACAUCCUAGGACAGCAGAAGCAAAAAGUGAAUGAGGAUAAAUAUUAACGAAAAAGGAGUCCUUGGAACAAGAUGAAUCUCUUCGUAUCAGUUUUGAAAUAGAAGUUUAGCAUUGACUUUGAGAGCUUUUCUGGCAAGUGAUGGAAGCAAGAACUGUACUGCUGAGAAGAGCAAUUAUUUGAAAGAAGGCUUGAAUGUAAGUGGAAAUAUAAAUUCAUGCCAUCUCACAUCAAGGUCAGGCUUCUAUCUCAGGAAGUAAAGACAAUUUUUUUUUUUUUUAAGUUUAUUUAGUAUAACUUAGCAGUCUUAGCAGACACUGAUUUCUAAGAAGAUAUUUUUAAAUCUAACAUUCCUCAGUUUGCCUAGAACAGAAUUCCUUUGAAAAAUCCAGAGAGUGUGCUCUCAACUUGACUUAAUACUGUCCUGCCUCACUCCAGCACAUCUCAAAACAGGCUCCUGCUCCUGUGAGGACAGGCUGCUAGCUGCAGCCAGGGAUAUGAAGAGAUGAGCACCACAGUUUAAAGGGUCUUGGGGGCAGAAGAAAAUACAGUGCUGUGUCUGAGGGCUCUGCAGAUAGAAUUAAUGGGAGAAUAAUUGACCAAGCUGUGGAAAUCUUUGACCACGCAGGUCACAGUGAAGCUUUUCUUUACAGGAUUGAAAUAAUGUGAUAAUACAAGAGUCCUGAACCUUCCCAGUGGACUUAAAGGUAGCUAAAAUAAAUAAAUAGCAUUUGUAUUU
ensembl:lncRNA